rnacentral:rRNA from 1 species
UACGGGGGGGGCAAGCGUUGUUCGGAAUUACUGGGCGUAAAGGGUCUGUAGGUGGCCAACUAAGUCAGACGUGAAAUCCCUCAGCUUAACUGGGGAACUGCGUCUGAUACUGGUUGGCUUGAGUGCAGGAGAGGAAUGCGGAAUUCCAGGUGUAGCGGUGAAAUGCGUAGAUAUCUGGAGGAACACCGGUGGCGAAGGCGGCAUCCUGGACCGGCAUUGACGCUGAGGCGCGAAAGCCAGGGGAGCAAACGGG